UGAAAAGCCCUUCCUUUCCCCCAGCUGGGCCAAAAUAAGUCGCCUUCCUUUGUGCUUUUUCCACAGUCAGCCCAUGUCUGUGACAGAGCUGCCCUCCUGCACCGCUGAGGGCACUAGCCCUUGCCCUUGCCAUCCAUACCAGUGGGGAGCCUGGGGCAACCGGAACAGCUCCUGCGGGGGGCUGCCAGAUACGUAUAGUAUCCUCCAACGGUGGUCCCAAAGACCAUCUGCACCAGGAGACACACCAGCAUUGUCUGUGUUUUUGGACCCAUGGACCUGAGGUUGGCCAUGACUGGUGCAGAAGUGCAGAGAGAAGGUUACAACCUGGCUUACAGCACAAGAAGGGUCUUUCCAUGCUCAGGCGGAUGAGCAGCGAGACAGCAGGUUUGAUCUCCUGAAAUCCUUUUCAGAUGGCCAUGAGGGUAGGUGGGCUGCUCAGCCAGGUUUGUAGCCUUGAGGUUGAGAGAAGAAGACACAGUGAAUGUCUUCAGGGUGCAGAUUCUGGCUUGCUUCCUGGGCAGACGCACUGUCAUCCCUGGCAGAAGACUGCCAACCCAUGGUACAGACAGACUACUCUCAUUUUGCAAACAGUGGUAGCACAGGUAUUUUAGAGUGUGUGAAGCCUUUUUUUCAAAAAAAGCUACCAGUUUUGUUGUGGUUUUCUCAACAGGUACUCUUGGUUUUCUGUGUGAGCUGGACCACAACCUACCAAUGUGGCAAUUUUAUGUAAAUAUUACCAUAUUGUCCUUUCCUUCCCAAAAGGGCCUUUUAAGGUGGCCAUGUGGAGUUCUCCUUGCCCAAAGGGUAUAAUUCAGGGAGAAGGUAUUGAGAAGACUCUCCUGGUUCCUCAGCACUAUAAGAACAUAAUCUUAGAAAGCAGGAGGUGACCAUCAGCUAGCAAGGGUUCAGCCAGGUAGAGAAAGGGUGGAUCCUGGGCCAAGCUGUGAUGCUUGGGGAACGUGCUGAACAUGACACAGCGUUCAGCUGAGACUUCUCUCAGCAGCCAUCAGGCACACCUUUUGGGAUGUAGGAUGGAGUGGUCUAUAUGGAGAAAAUGCCUCGAGUUCCCCAAGAAACCUGCUGAAAAAGUGCCCUGUAUUCAAGACGCAAAACAAAUGGCAAUGGCAGGGUGCCCCCAGACAGGGGCUUUUUGUGAAGAGUCCUCUCAAACCUGCUGCCAUCUUCCUGGGAGAGGUCAGUGGAUGCCUUUCCUGUUUUCAGUUUAAUACAUUCCUGCAACACAAGCCGAGCAAGCAAACUUGCCUGCUAUUCGCAAGAUGUGGGCGUGCCCUCUGCAAAAUCCACAAUGUGGUCCUUCCAAACCGUUUUCAGAGGUUAGCCAAUAUUUACGCAGUGCUUGAGGGAUGCUAGGAACUAUGGUUUGAACAGGGAAGUUUUUUCAGGGGUUGCCUUGUGCUUGAGGCAACUGGGAGGCAAAGCAGCUCAAGUUUGAGGUUAGCAGCUCCGUUUUUUAGUUUGUCUUCCUCACUGCCAAUGCUCCCCAUCUCUUUGGCUUUUAUUUUGUCCCAUUAUACAUUACGUUUUAAGCUCCUGGUGGUAGCUUGGGGACUUUCUGCUCAUAGUCACCAGUACUAGCACUGUCUGUGCUUCUCUUCAGUGUGGAGAUACAGAGCAUCCAGCCCUUUUGAGGAGAAAAUACUGCUUGCACAGAAAGAUGUUUUUAAUUUAGUGAAUUCGUGAACUCUAAGGUCACAGGGGUAUGUUAUGAUUCUCUAAACCAGCAGUUUGCCUAACAUGAGCCACAAAAUCUUACCCAAGAGCUCCUACCACCAAGCCCAUUAGCUUCUUUAGAAAUUCCUGCUCCAGAAUACUGAGUGGCGUAAUUAUCACUAUGGUUACAACAAUGCCCCAUAAGAAUGAAACAUUUUUGCUCAAAAUAUCCAAGUCAUAUCUGCUUAUGUCAGAAAAAACAAUGACUUUAACUAGGGUGUAUUCCUGCUGACAGCACUGCUUCCAAAGGGAGAAGUGAGGGAAAGCAAGCUCCUUUAUGGCUUGUGCACCAUUGCAAAGGGAGUGUGAUUGCAGGAGAUUUAUUGUAUUGCUGUUUGGAAGGAGUCCAGGUUGAUUGCCACAGCCAGGACUGAGUCUAAUAGCUUGGCAGAUAGGGGAAGAGACGUCCUUCCACUGUAAACCAAGCAAGGAGUAACCAAAGGAACCUGACAAGGAGUUAUGAAGAUAACAAAAAAGAGAGCCUAGGCACUGUUGUUUUGAUGGUUCUGGUUGUUUCAGAGCUCCAGGUUAACCUCUUCAGAAGAGAGGGUCUGGUGAGAUGUUUGUGUAUGGAAGCGAACAGGUCCCCAUGACAUGGUGCCACAGAGGAGCACUCCUCAGGAUCUUAGGGUGUCUCAGGGUGAACAUCUGCAGGAAUUGAUCUCAGUGUGAUUCCAGACAAGAAAACCCAUUGUUGGACCCCUGAGACUUGAAGGUUUGUGCCUUAUUCCCUUCUCAUUUCCUUUAGUACAAUGUUAUCAUAUACACUUAAUGUUUAACUCAGGAUUCUUCAAAUGCUGUGUGAUCUACAUGAAAUUACUUCAUUUCAGAACAUCUUAAAUUCCAUAAUUGCUUCAGCAAAGGCACAGACCAAUAAACACUGGUAUUUUUAUCUCCCGCACACUUCUCUUUUACUGUGUGCGUGAUCACAAGCAAUUUGCAAGUUUGAAUUUACACCAGUAGCAAUUUUGCUUGGUUCUUUGGAAUCAUGCUUAAAUAAACCAAUUGCAAUUAAAGUUCAAGUUAGCACAGACUGCCCAAUCUUCUCACUGAGGCUUUUUCACCAGUGAAGUGAUGCUUUGAAUUAUUCAAGCCAGUGUACAUUCAGAAUUUUCCAUUUCUUGACAUGGCCAUAAAAAGUCAAAUUAUUAGAUUUGAUAGCUUGGCAAAAUCACAGUAGUUGAGGGGUUAAAAUGGGAAAAGGUAAUCUGGACAGAACGCUGAAAAAAAAUCUUUUAGUUUUAAUUGUUUGAAUUGCUUUUUGUUGCAUUCUCAAAAAUAUGCCAAAGCUAACAUCUCAGUACAUGGUUUAUUUCAUUUAUUUUCCUUUAUUGUUUGUUUUAUUACCCUUUCUGUUCUUGGUUGUUAACAGAAGAGCUAGCCUUGCUGUCCAGCUGCUGCACAUCGUUAGAGGAGCACAAAGAUGAAGUCCACUCACCAUCUGGCCCUUCUUGAUUGAUUGGAAGCCUGACUGGUUUGUGGGAUGCUCUCCAUGAACUGUGGUGUGGCGAGCCUCACCAAGACUGCGCUGUUAACUUGGAAACAAGCUAGGAAUGGCAGUAAACAAACGUUUAUAAUGCUGAUAGUCUUGCACCAGUCCUGGAGGAGAUGAUUCAUGGCCUGGACUGUUGCAGAGGGGUGCACCUGUUCCAAAAACAAGCCCAAAAGCAGCCGUGAGUGCAUCAGGAGUGUCUUCACAUGGAUUCCAGUGAACACCUAGAGGAAACAAAAUUUAAGAGUGCCAACCUCUUCCGCCCCCCAACACUAGGAGAUUCUUGAAAUACGACUAUGAAAGCAACAGACUUGCAAGAAGUAGAGAGCAUCCAACGAAUCCUUAUGAUAAAGGCCUUAAAAACAGUUUAAAGGGAGAGUAAAUGAAUCCAAGUCUUAAUUGCCCCAGUCAUCCCCGCCCCCG